GAUGAACGCUGGCGGCGUGCCUAAUACAUGCAAGUCGAGCGAACGGACGAGAAGCUUGCUUCUCUGAUGUUAGCGGCGGACGGGUGAGUAACACGUGGAUAACCUACCUAUAAGACUGGGAUAACUUCGGGAAACCGGAGCUAAUACCGGAUAAUAUUUUGAACCGCAUGGUUCAAAAGUGAAAGACGGUCUUGCUGUCACUUAUAGAUGGAUCCGCGCUGCAUUAGCUAGUUGGUAAGGUAACGGCUUACCAAGGCAACGAUGCAUAGCCGACCUGAGAGGGUGAUCGGCCACACUGGAACUGAGACACGGUCCAGACUCCUACGGGAGGCAGCAGUAGGGAAUCUUCCGCAAUGGGCGAAAGCCUGACGGAGCAACGCCGCGUGAGUGAUGAAGGUCUUCGGAUUGUAAAACUCUGUUAUUAGGGAAGAACAUAUGUGUAAGUAACUGUGCACAUCUUGACGGUACCUAAUCAGAAAGCCGCGGCUAACUACGUG
rnacentral:rRNA from 1 species